rnacentral:lncRNA from 1 species
UUGGCCACGUGCUGGGAAGGGAGUUCUUUGUUCUCUGGCUGUUGUGGAAGAAGUAUCUCAUAAUCUUCUUUUGACAUUGAAGUGUGGAUUCUUGAAGUCCUCACCUAGCCAAAUAGCCUCAUCAGAAGGAGUUGAGGGCAUCGAACUUAAACUUAACAAAGGUGAUGUGAUAAGUUUACUUCAACUAGUUUUCUUGUAUUUGUUCCUUUUCCUUUGUUCUAGAUGUUUAUUUUGAAUCAACUGAAAAAUGUCAAUGUCAACAAUAUAGUACAUGUUGGCGUGAAAGCAGAAUUUGUUAGCAAGCAUUUUAAAACCUUAAACAACAAAGAUAAAUUUUGGUGCAAGUUGAACAUCAUUCUGGUGGUAACAGAAGCGAAAGAAGUCUCCUGUUGGCCAUUCGAGUGUUGAGCAACUUAAGAUCACAAUCUGCCGUCUAAAUCUGUGUUAUUGAAAACAGUCAAUGGGCUAACUGGGUGAGUCAACAAAAAAUGGCUGUAAUAU